CGACAGUACAUGUUAUACAGGCACACCAAAACUCUUUACUCGGAGAGAAACUGAAGUCUGAACUUGGAUAAAGACAAAACGAAUGCACGGUGUUACUUCAAAUUCUGUAUCCUUUCUUGGAAGUGAGAUAUCAUGAAGAGACGCAAGGAGCCAGAUUACAGCCAUGGUGAUGGAGAUCAGAGGAACAAACUAUUCUUCAUGACUGAACAUGCAGCCAGCAAAAGAAGAAGGAAACUGUUUUCGGUUUGAGUGCAGAUGGUCAGAGAAAGAACCUGAUCAUUGAUCAAGUCAGUGGUGUUGUCAAUUCAUAGAGGAUCAAUCUAUACUCCGCUACUCUGUAUGUCAGCAAGAUUUGCGGUGCGACAGAGAAUUGGCUGGUCACGACACCAUCGAGGAUCAAGAAUAUCUAGUGGUGCAUGGUCUUCAUUCUGCAAGGUAAGGUAUGUUUUCUAGAACCAGCAACAAUUUUUUUCCUUCUUUUUUGCCCCCCGAAAUUUGAAAAUCGUGCCGACCGAUAUU